AAAUACGACAAGCUGAAGAUUUGGUACUCAUAUAAGUCAAGAACAAAACAUGCCAUUACUCGAGAAUGUUAAAAAGCAAAAAACAUAACAAUUCAAACUCCUAAUGAGUAUAAAGCAAAUAGUUCUAGGCAUAGCCGAUCCAGAAAAUAAAUCAAAGCAUAAACUUUUGCAUAAAUUUCCUCUCUCAAAAUCAACAGUCUACUUAAUCUUCUUCUUUGGCCUCAACUGGUUGCUGUGUCCA
rnacentral:misc_RNA from 1 species